AUACGCAAAGUAACGAGCAAGGAGCAACUGAGUUUUUCUUUCUCUUCCCUUUUCUUUUCCUCUUUGAGAUAUUUCCCACUUUCCCCUGUUAAAUAAAUGAUCUGUCUCUUUGCAGGAUAGUGACAACCUCUGGUGGGAUGCCUUUGCCACUGAAUUUUUUGAAGAUGACGCCACAUUAACCCUUUCAUUUUGUUUGGAAGAUGGACCAAAGCGAUACACUAUCGGCAGGACCCUCAUCCCCCGUUACUUUAGCACUGUGUUUGAAGGAGGGGUGACCGACCUGUAUUACAUUCUCAAACACUCGAAAGAGUCAUACCACAACUCAUCCAUCACGGUGGACUGCGACCAGUGUACCAUGGUCACCCAGCACGGGAAGCCCAUGUUUACCAAGGUAUGUACAGAAGGCAGACUGAUCUUGGAGUUCACCUUUGAUGAUCUCAUGAGAAUAAAAACAUGGCACUUUACCAUUAGACAAUACCGAGAGUUAGUCCCGAGAAGCAUCCUAGCCAUGCAUG
rnacentral:sRNA from 1 species